rnacentral:rRNA from 1 species
GACGAACGCUGGCGGCGUGCUUAACACAUGCAAGUCGAACGGAAAGGCCCUGCUUUUGUGGGGUGCUCGAGUGGCGAACGGGUGAGUAACACGUGAGUAACCUGCCCUUGACUUUGGGAUAACUUCAGGAAACUGGGGCUAAUACCGGAUAGGAGCUCCUGCUGCAUGGUGGGGGUUGGAAAGUUUCGGCGGUUGGGGAUGGACUCGCGGCUUAUCAGCUUGUUGGUGGGGUAGUGGCUUACCAAGGCUUUGACGGGUAGCCGGCCUGAGAGGGUGACCGGCCACAUUGGGACUGAGAUACGGCCCAGACUCCUACGGGAGGCAGCAGUGGGGAAUAUUGCACAAUGGGCGGAAGCCUGAUGCAGCAACGCCGCGUGCGGGAUGACGGCCUUCGGGUUGUAAACCGCUUUCGCCUGUGACGAAGCGUGAGUGACGGUAAUGGGUAAAGAAGCACCGGCUAACUACGUGCCAGCAGCCGCGGUGAUACGUAGGGUGCGAGCGUUGUCCGGAUUUAUUGGGCGUAAAGGGCUCGUAGGUGGUUGAUCGCGUCGGAAGUGUAAUCUUGGGGCUUAACCCUGAGCGUGCUUUCGAUACGGGUUGACUUGAGGAAGGUAGGGGAGAAUGGAAUUCCUGGUGGAGCGGUGGAAUGCGCAGAUAUCAGGAGGAACACCAGUGGCGAAGGCGGUUCUCUGGGCCUUUCCUGACGCUGAGGAGCGAAAGCGUGGGGAGCGAACAGGAUUAGAUACCCUGGUAGUCCACGCUGUAAACGGUGGGUACUAGGUGUGGGGUCCAUUCCACGGGUUCCGUGCCGUAGCUAACGCUUUAAGUACCCCGCCUGGGGAGUACGGCCGCAAGGCUAAAACUCAAAGGAAUUGACGGGGCCCCGCACAAGCGGCGGAGCAUGCGGAUUAAUUCGAUGCAACGCGUAGAACCUUACCUGGGUUUGACAUGGAUCGGGAGUGCUCAGAGAUGGGUGUGCCUCUUUUGGGGUCGGUUCACAGGUGGUGCAUGGCUGUCGUCAGCUCGUGUCGUGAGAUGUUGGGUUAAGUCCCGAAACGAGCGCAACCCUUGUUCACUGUUGCCAGCACGUUAUGGUGGGGACUCAGUGGAGACCGCCGGGGUCAACUCGGAGGAAGGUGGGGAUGACGUCAAGUCAUCAUGCCCCUUAUGUCCAGGGCUUCACGCAUGCUACAAUGGCUGGUACAGAGAGUGGCGAGCCUGUGAGGGUGAGCGAAUCUCGGAAAGUCGGUCUCAGUUCGGAUUGGGGUCUGCAACUCGACCUCAUGAAGUCGGAGUCGCUAGUAAUCGCAGAUCAGCAACGCUGCGGUGAAUACGUUCCCGGGGCU